UGUAUAUAUUGACAAACAAAUGUCAGUUAUGCGUAUGUAUAAACUUAACACAUUUACAAAUAAAAACAAACAAAAUGCAAAACUAACAACAUUCAAAUUAACAACUUAAAUGGAUGAUGUUGGUUUGUUGAAACUGAGCUACUGCUUUGGUGUGAAUAAGGCGUUGACCACCAGCACAAUUUAUUUCAAAUGCUGCAAUUACCUCUGCUAGGUAGGGUGCCCAUCACUGUUCUUCAUUUUAACUUUUGCAAAAGCUUCUUUCCUAAUGUGGGUCUUCAUUUGGCUGGGAAUGAAGACUUGACAUUUUACUUCGCCUCUAUUUCUCAUUAGUUGCUACAAGUAAAGUGGGUCAUCUUUGUUCCAAUGUGAUGGUCAAUACAAAAGCAAAUGUAGGUGUGGAGUUAGAAGCCUUUUAGCCAUCCAAAUGAUCUAAAAUAUGUAAGUAGAAAUUUAAGCGUCCCAUUGAGAAGACUCAAAUUUUGGAGAAUCUGUAGGUGGACCACGGUUUGAAAAAUAUUGCUGUAGACCAGGGGGUAAGGUGGGGAGGGAUGUUGAGAGAUUUUGAGCAGAUCUGCAUGUUGGAAUGACUGCUCUUUUCGCAGCGUGGGUGGCUAGAGGCAUGAAUCCAGGUGAGCAAUGACAAGGGUAAGGACCUGGGCAAUGGAGAGGGGAUAGGAAUGGGGGCAGCCUGAGAAUUGUUGAGGAGGACCUCAACAAUUAAAUUGUUUUGAAUUGUUGAUAGGACCUAGGGACUGAGGGAACGUGAGGGCUGAGGAGGAGGGAGGAUUGUGAAAGACUGCCAGGUGUUUGCCUUGAAUGCUUAGCAGAUAAUGAUAGCAUCAUGAGGGGGAAUUCCAGAAGAGGAGUGGGUUCUGUGGGGGCUAAUGGCUUUAGCCUUGGACAUUCUGAACUUAGAUGUCCAUGGGGUAACUAGGAGAAGCCUCCCGGUAAACUGUAGGAUCUAGAAAUCAGGAGGGGACAUCAGAUCUGGAGUGACCAGAGGAAUUUGAGUGUGCACACACAUAAACCAGAUGUUCUUGGUUCCCCAAAGGUGAAAGCAUGGGCCUUAGGAGGUUGUUGAAUCCCUUGAUAUUUAUGCAGAAAUUUGAGUAUGGUUAGUGUAUUUUUCUGGGGAGAGGGUCCUCAGCUUUCAUCCAAUUCUCCAAAUGGUGUAUGGUCAUUUGAAAGGAGGAAGGCUGAAGAAAGAGGCCUGGGGAACAGCAGCACAUCUGGGGAAGAGCAGCAAUUGGAGCCUCUGCAGAUGGCAGGAGGGUGUGAGCAGUGGUUGGGGAGGUAGGCACUAGGAGAGCAACAGGAACCUUGCAGAGGAGAGGGCAGACAGGACACAGAGGAGAGGGCAGACAGGGCAAAGAGGAGGGGGUGGGUGGGGUGCUAAGGAGAGGGUGGGCAGGGUGCCAAGGAGAGGGUGGGCAGGGCACAGAGGAGACAGUGAAGAGGAGUGGGUGGACAGUGGUGUCAUAUGCAGUGGCCUGGUCCAGUGAGCUGGAGAUGUGCCAUAUGGUUUAGCCAUAAAGAAUCAGUGCCUUUUGCCAGGACAGUUCUAGUGGAGCAGAGGUUGGAGGGGCUGGAUGACUGAAUGGAGGAGGAGGCAGACAGUACACACAAGCCUUUGGGAAACUUGAUUGGAAAGGGCAGGGGAGAUAGGAGUGAGCAGAGGUUAAAAUGUUCUAAAUGCAGGGGAGCAACCUGAGCAUGUUUGUGUCCUGGGGAACAGCAGAGAGAGAGGCAGAACAUACGCGUGGGGAGAAGGUACUGAGGCAUCUGUCAGACAGGGAGGGGUGGUGGUGGUUUAAAAUACAGUGUAGUAAGAGAAAAUUUGAGGUGUAGUAAGGCCAACAGAUCAGGAGGUGAUUGUCAUUGAGAAGACAAUUUGUUACCCAAUAUUCCCAAGAGGAGAGGGGGCAUGGCAUGCCACAGAGGCCCCAGGGUUGGUCAGGAGGCAGAGGGAAAGAGGGAGUUGGGGGGACUGUGUGCAAGAGCCUUUGUUGCAGUUUCUGCAGGAACAAACAGGUGAGACAGGGUGUGCCCGGUUAGGAUUGGGUAGUUUGAAUCUCGGUGGGCUCUGGGACAUUGACAAUAACAGCUUUUUCAAAAUGUAACAAGCAGGUGUCUUUUGAACACCCACUGCAUGCUGGACGUUGUGUAGCGGGGUUUAUGUUUGAAUAAAAUAUAACCUCAGGAAUCAAGAACAAAGAUUCUCACAUUCUAUGUCUCACAUUAAAUCUCUGAUAGGCUUAAGAUGCACCUGGAGGAGUAUUGUUAUUGUUUUUGUUUUAAUGCACUCUCCUGGGCCAUAUCUCAGGCAUUCAGAUUCUGAAAGUCUGGGAUGAGACCCAGGAAUCUGCAUUUAUCACAAGCAUCCAGAUAGGAAACAUUUUAGACUUUGCUUGUGAGAGUCUCUAAAGCAGCUAUUCAAUUCUGCUAUUGUAGCCUGAAAGCAGCUGUAGAUGACUAUUUGUAAAGGAAUGGGUGUGGCUAUGUUCCAUUAAAACUUUAUUUACAAAAAUAAGUGCUGGACAUUAUUCAUAGUAGCCAAGAUAUGACAAAAACCUAAAUGUCCAUGAAUGGCUGAAUGAGUAAAUAAAAUAUACAAAUAUACUUUCAAUGCAAUAUUAUCUAGUCUUAAAAAAGAAGGCCGGGAGCAGUGGCUCACACCUGUAAUCCCAGCACUUUGGGAGGCCAAGGCGGGUGGAUGACAUGAGGUUGGGAGUUCGAGACCAUCCUGGCCAACAUGGUGAAACCCAUCUCUACCAAAAAUAUAAAAAUUAGC
rnacentral:lncRNA from 1 species